AUGAGAGAAAUUGGUGAUAAGAAAUUCUCUGUGCUUGUCGAUGAGUCAUGUGAUAUAUCUGUCAAAGAGCAAAUGGCGGUGAUGUUGAGGUAUGUCAAUGAUAAAGGGAAAACCGUGGAACGAGUUCUCUCUCUAUACCAUGCCAGUGAGACUACAUCAGAGGCACUAAAGUAUGUCUCCUUAAUUGUGAGCACAACUACUGUAUCUUGCAAGAGAAGGGAUUCACUGAGGGAGGAACGCCAUCAAAAUAUCUUAGAUCAGCUUGAGAGCGGUGAGAUAUUUAGUGGAAGAGUUGGUGAUGUCAAAGCUCGGCUGGCCUCUAUGAGAGAAAGUGGUUGGGAAAGCUUGUUCGACGAAGUCCAACACUUCUGUGUCGCCAAAGGUAUUCCAGUGCCGGAUAUGAAUGAAAGAAUACUGGUCCGAGGUCGUUCAAGGCUUGAUGGUGUGACCUACACCAAUCUUCAUUUCUAUCGAGUUGAGAUCUUGGUCAUCAGAGACGAGGAGAAGUUCAAGGCGCAAUUUGCCGCCAUCAUGGCGCGUGGGUGGAAGAAAGCCGAGGAGGAGGUUGGGGAGGGCGAGAAGGCACGACCGCGGGGAAAGACCAACUCCAAGAAGGAGGACAAGCGGGAUGCGGCGUUAAUCGCCUUGAUCGCAACCGUGGAGGGCCUUAUGACCAAGAAGGACUCAAGGGAGGAGAAGCGCCGGCAAGACAACAGAACUUACAACGACACAUGA
rnacentral:rRNA from 1 species